rnacentral:rRNA from 1 species
ACUCCUACGGGAGGCAGCAGUGGGGAAUAUUGCACAAUGGGCGCAAGCCUGAUGCAGCGACGCCGCGUGCGGGAUGACGGCCUUCGGGUUGUAAACCGCUUUCAGCAGGGAAGAAGCGCAAGUGACGGUACCUGCAGAAGAAGCGCCGGCUAACUACGUGCCAGCAGCCGCGGUAAU